GCGGGGCGGAGAGUUCCCCUGCGUGCCGCCCCCCCCUUACUUGCUGCAGGCAGCCCUCCCCGUGCCCCCCUGCCCCAGCUCCCUCUGCCUAAAUGCCGGCAGCGACCAGGGCGGCUGAAGAUCUGGCCGCCACAGUCGCUGCCGAAGAAAAUGGCGCCCUCCAAAUCCUAGCGCCCUAGGCAACUGCAUAGGUCGCCUAAAUGGUUGCACCGGCCCUGUUGCCGCAGGACCUGUCUCUGUCUCCAUGUUAGUCUGUUCCCCACACAAACAGCUCACUAACAACUUCCCUUCCCUCUGUUCAGAAAGUCUUUGUAACCAUGUAGUGACCUUUUGAAUUCUCAGUUCCCAGCCUUGGCAAAAAGGCUGUGUCUUUGGGCUGGAGCCUGGAAGUGGCAUCUUCCCUGCUAAUAGCUUGACAUUUCUCUUGUAAUUGUCCCCAAGUAUGUGUUUGGGAGGCUGCUUUUCUAGACCCAUUUUGUGGCUUUCUUGGGGAGGGGGUCCAACAGCCCCCUCUUAAGCUAGAUCGAUACAUUGAUAUAGGAAAGUCCUGUAACUCAAUAUAGCUAUACAGUGACUCAUUAAUACCAUAGGUACCUGGUCAGUAAAAUUAUUAUACAUUAGUAUUCCUAAGUACAUCCACCACUGAUACCAUUGCCCCACUCAGAGAAGAGUAAAAAUACUCUAUGAUAUUCAGUUAGAAAUAAUUUUCUAUAGUCAAAACUCAUGGAUUAAUUGAUGUGAGGUAUAGACAUCGCUGAGUUAUAAAGUGAAGGAUAGAUUGUCUCUUAGUUUAGUGGUUUUAGUUUUGUUUAGUUUUAGCUUAUCGUAGUCUCUGGGAGGUGGUGGGAAAUUGCUUGUUUAAAAAAUAAUCUGAUCUGUGUUGCAUUCAAGAAAAUAGUUUAUUGAAGUUUUGCUUUUUUCAGGCAAAAGAAAGUAACUAAAAUAGCUUAAACUAUUCCGGGGGAGGGACUAUCAAAUCCAUGUAUACAAUGGAAAAUGUACAUACUGUCCCUUAUAAGCCGCAUUACAAAAUCCUUUAUGGUAUCUCAAAGGAAAAAAAAGAAAGGACGUUUUAAAGUGAGAGGUCCUAGCCUCUGUUUGCCAGACUCUGGGAAUGGGCAAGGGGAUGGAUCACUUGAUGAUUACCUGUUCUGUUCAUUCCUUCUGGGGCACCUGGCAUUGGCCACUGUCGGAAGACAGGAUACUAGGCUAGAUGGCCCAUUGGUUUGACCCAGUAUGGCCGUUCUUAUGUUCUUAUCUUGCUCCAUUUGAAAUCAGUAGGCGUUUUGACAAUGAGGCCCUGAAAUGGCUUGAGCAUGGACAUGGUAAAACAAUCAGCAGAAGCAGGAUCUGACAUUUAAUACACUUUUCCAUUGCAAGGGAAAAUGCAUCGGGGAAAAAAAGCAAAAUAUAUGUUGCCACUUGAGCAUGUUAUGAACCAACACAAGGCAGAUAAAUUCAAGGAGUGCUGUAAAUCAGCUCAACAAUAUGAAUAAUAAGUCUCAAGAAAAAUCUCUACCCCAGAAAAUGAAGCUGGUGAUAAGUCUCAGGACAUCCUCUGAGACAGGAGACAUUGUUAAGUCACUGCCUAGAGGAAAGUGAGAGUUUUUUCUGUAAGCAGGAUGUUGAUAAGUCAGCUUAAGAUGCUUAAGGUCCCCACCGCUGGGAAAAGAAAUCUGCCUCCUACAUGUGGAUUUACAUAUUUAACCAAUGCACCUUAUUAAAAAUCUGUCCUUGCUUCCAUUGGCUUCAGCACGAGCAGAUUUGGCAACCUUAGCUGGGUUUUUAAACAUUCGUCUAAUGGGAACUUUUGAAAAAGUAAUUUUGUGAAGUUGUAUUUAACAUGCAUAACAAAAGCCAGUGACACUGUCCUUGUGCUGCUGUCAGUCAGUCUGUCUGUAAUUCACAAUGUUGAGUCUAAGUAAUGCCGAGGUCUGAGCCUAGUCUUGAUAGUGCAUUGAGUGCUGCAAUAUCCAAGUGCCAGCAGGUGAAUUAAGGGUGGUGUUUUGGCUUGAACAGGAGAUACAGAGCCUUUUACUGUACCUCUAGAACAUUGCUUCAAACCCAGCCUACAUCAGUACCUGGAAAGGUAAAUCACUACCGUUCAAUGGCUGUUUGGUGGCUUAUAUGAAUUGAGCUUGGUGAUCUCAGGCUAGUUGCCAGUGUGUGUGUGUCAUCCUCAUAGAAACCACCACCAAAGUACUCCAGUAAAGGUCAAGGCUCCAUUGUGCUAGGCCUGUAGAGUUGAUUCCUGAAGGUGUGCAGUUGUACACUGGCAAGGCAGCGUGGAGGGGCCUGCGCUUUUCCUGCCAGUAAGGUCCCUUCCCUUGGAUAUGGAUAAAUGGAGGAUUUCAGUCUCAGGCUAGCAUCUUUCACAAGCACAAAAUGGAGAUUUACUUGGUUUAACCAGUGAAGUUUCAGCUUUAUUUGUGAAGUUCUGUGCCUGUCACAACCCCCAAUGGGAGGAAGGCCAGCCUGUGAAACUACAGCACCUAACGCCUGCAGUGCUGAGGAAUCCCUUUCCAGCCAAGUGCUAGUUGUGGUAUAUGUAGCUACGUAAUCAUUAGGAUUUUGUUCUCUGUCUUGCAGUUUUAAAUGUCUACGGCCAUGUCUACACUGACAAGCUUACAGUGGCACAGCUGUACUGAUACAACUGUGCUGCUGUAAGAUCGCUCAUGUAGCUGCGUUAUGCCAACAGCAGAGCGCUCUUCCAUUGGCAUAAUAAAACCAGCUCAAUGAGCGGCGGUAGCUGUGUUGCCGGGAGAGCCUUGUGCAAACGAGCGCUUAUGUUGGCAAAAGUUACAUUGCUUGGGUGGGGGCGUUUUUUCACACUCCUGGGCGACAAAAGUUUUGCCGACAUAAGUGCUAGUGUAGACAUGGCCUAGGAGUCUGCUGGAAGCAGCUGCAAUUUCAUGUUCAGUCCAGAUACAGCUUACUGGGCUCGAAUGGAAACUGUUUGUUUUAUGCUAAAAUAAAAUGAGUGUUUUAAACGGACAGUGUGUGGCUGCUCCGUGUGAAUGGAAAGCACGUACUUCCCUGGUGAAAUCUCAUAGGAUCAGACCAUGCAGUAACUCAGAUGCAGGAAUCAUAGUUUUUUAUUCUUUUUAAAUACUUACUCCUCGGAAGGCCUUCAAAUUCUAAUAACUGCUCUGUAUUUUCUCCAAGUGCCUUUUCAGUUAGUUCCGUAAAAUUGUUGAUCUGGUACUUGAUAUGUAUUUUCACAUGCUGGGAGUACAAGGGAGAAUCUGUGUGGUUUGUUGUCUUUAGAAAUGUCAUGAACGGAGAACACACUGUAUAAUAAAGAGGAAGUAAAGGCACCACAGAGCAUAGUGUGUGAACAUUCAGUAGCUGUUAUUGUGUCAGUGCCAGUUGUGCGCUUGGCAUUACACAGCUUGCAAAAGCAAAGCCAAUCUCUUCCCCGAAGAGCUUACAGCUGAGAAGCCAAGACAUGCUUUGAGAUAGUUGUCUGCAUAUGAGAGCUUCCCCUCCUUCCAGGUCAAUGUUUUAAUUUACUGCUAUUGGGUGAGCUGCUGCGCUAGGCUUCUAGGAGGUGCAGUACCGGAGGGGGGCAGGCUCAGGGGGCUUUACGGCACCUUUGCACUCUCCCAACAACAAGCUGCUCCAAAGGUCAGAGUGGCCCUGCCAAAAUUUAAACAGCCCAGCCUAAGGCUUGUCUACACAGGGAAAACGGCCAGCAGAAAUAAAGCUAUACCGAGAGUCACUGUUGUUCCAGAAUAGAGAAUCUACAUGGAGAGUUACGCUGGCAUAGAUAUAGUCCUCGAAUUAUAUUGCUAUCGUUCUGCCAGUCAAUUUCUUCAUGUAAAUAGGGUUACAGCAGCUUGUCCCUAUCUUCCUAUGUGCAGCAGCCCUGUAUGAUAUGGCCCCAGGCCUGAAACUAGGGUGACCAGAUGUCCCAAUUUUAUAGGGCCAGUCCCGAUUUUUGGGUCUUUUUCUUACAUAGGCUCCUAUUACCCCCCAUCCCCUGUCCUGAUUUUUCACACUUGCUGUCUGGUCACCCUAUCUGAAACAUCCUCUUCAGCCAUGCCCCUUACAGCAGGGCUUGGAAAGAGGCCCUCAAAAGAACCACCUGAGGCCAUCAGUCUCAGUUCUUGCUCUAAGGGAAUUCUGUCCCAGCUUGACCUACAACUGUAAAGCCCCUUUCACACUUUUACCUGGUGUUAAGAGGCUGGAGUGGGGAGUGAGAAUUCGACCUAUUACUUUAAGAUGGCUGGGCAGGGAGAUUGUGAAAAAGCCACAGUGACAAGUGGAAGCUAAAAUGAUUCAGUUCGUAUGUGAGGUCUCAGUGAUCUCUUCAGUUUAUUGGAAUCUUGCAUUUACAACCAACAAUGGGAAAAUCAACCUGUUUACAGCAACUGCAGUUUCAAACUGUUCUUAUGACCGUAUCCUUCAAAUGAUCACGUGUGUGUUUGUAAAAUAAAGCUACAGCCUUGCCUAGAACACAGGUUCAUUAUGCAUUUCAGUGCAAGUCUAGUAUAUGACACUCUUACUGAUAGCAACAAUCAUUUAUGCCCAAUCAAAACUGGGCCAUUUUUUUACUUUCACAACAUAGCACAUACUAUUCCUUAUAUAGUUUAGCUUGGCUGAAAAUUCUGGCAUGUCUCCUUAGGAAGGAUUUCUUGUAGGGGGGAUUGCCCAUCAAUAAUCCUGUGGCUAGAGCAUAGCACUGGGAGUCAGGUGGUUUCAGUUCUAUUGCUACCCUGCCACACGCUUCUUGUCACAUUCUUUAACCUGACCCCAGUUUCACUUUCUGUAAAAUGAGGCAGAUAAUAAUACUGCCUUACUUCCCAGUAAUGUUCUGAGGCUUAAGUCAUUAAUGUCUGUAAAAUGCAUUGAGGUGAUCAGAAGAAAAGUGCGUGUUUCUUUUUGGUUUUGCAUCAUGUGUACAUUCCUCUUUGAAACUUACUGACUCCAGCUGCCUAAUAUUCUUGGGUUGGGUUCCCCACGCUCCCAUUUCCACUGAUAGCAUAAUAAUCUAGUACAAGCUAACAAACAUACUAAGGUUUUUAAUCGUAAUCAGUGUGGUUUUGUUUGGUUUAAAUUUCCAAGUUUAACAAAGGUUCCAUAUUUUUUGUAUGUGCUCUCCCUACAGGAGUAGCUUCACAGGGCCACUCUUCAGUGUAAGAGUCAAUGGAAUCAAAUAGAGACUUUCACUACAUAGCAGGGGCCUGACCCUGAAAUGUGCCCAGCACUACCUGACAGCUGCCGAGUGCCUCAACUCCAACUGAAAACAGCAGAAGUUAAGAUCAACAAACAUCUGCUAUAAAUUGUAAGAGAAGUGGAACUGAGGUCAGUCAAAUAUAUCCCCUCGGGGACUGUUACUGUGUACCGAGUGCAUCUGAGCUUAGAGGAAUAAAAAUAAAGACUGACACCCAGCAAUAUCUUCUUCAUCAGGUCAAAACCCGUAUCCAGAAUGCAUAGAGAAAGACAUUUAACAUGAACAAAAUAAUAAAUGUCACCCAAGUAAUA